rnacentral:ribozyme from 1 species
UUUAGUUUUGUUUAGGUAAAUUAGUAUGUAUUUUUUACUUCCCCUAGAAGGCUACUAUAGGCUCUCCUUCUCAACUCCUACUCAAUACGUUCACGACGUGCAGAACGGUAACUUGUCGCCUAGAUCCAAGCUUGUGUACACGGGGAAACCCAACCCCUUGGGCGGAUGAGCGGCAAGGCAGAAUUGAGAGGU